rnacentral:rRNA from 1 species
GAUGAACGCUGGCGGCGUGCCUAAUACAUGCAAGUCGAACGCUGGAAAUCUAGCUUGCUCGAUUGAAGGAGUGGCGAACGGGUGAGUAAUACAUAAGCAACCUACCCACGAAGACUGGGAUAAUCUCUGGAAACGGGGACUAAUACCGGAUAGGUAAUCGGAAGGCAUCUUCUGAUUAUUAAAGGUUAAAAACACUGGUGGAUGGGCUUAUGGCGCAUUAGUUAGUUGGUGAGGUAACGGCCCACCAAGACGAUGAUGCGUAGCCGGCCUGAGAGGGUGAACGGCCACAUUGGGACUGAGACACGGCCCAGACUCCUACGGGAGGCAGCAGUAGGGAAUGUUCGGCAAUGGGGGAAACCCUGACCGAGCAACGCCGCGUGAGUGAUGACGGCCUUCGGGUUGUAAAGCUCUGUUGUAAGGGAAGAACGGUAGAUAGAGAAGAUCUAAAUGACGGUACCUUACCAGAAAGCCACGGCGAACUACGU